GUGGGGAAUAUUGGACAAUGGGCGAAAGCCUGAUCCAGCCAUGCCGCGUGUGUGAAGAAGGUCUUCGGAUUGCAAAGCACUUUAAGUUGGGAGGAAGGGCAGUAAGUUAAUACCUUGCUGUUUUGACGUUACCGACAGAAUAAGCACCGGCUAACUUCGUGCCAGCAGCCGCGGUAAUACGAAGGGUGCAAGCGUUAAUCGGAAUUACUGGGCGUAAAGCGCGCGUAGGUGGUUUUGUAAGUUGGAGGUGAAAUCCCCGGGCUCAACCUGGGAACUGCCUCCAAAACUGCAUGACUAGAGUACGGUAGAGGGUAGUGGAAUUUCCUGUGUAGCGGUGAAAUGCGUAGAUAUAGGAAGGAACACCAGUGGCGAAGGCGACUACCUGGACUGAUACUGACACUGAGGUGCGAAAGCGUGGGGAGCAAACAGGAUUAGAAACCCGUGUAGUCC
rnacentral:rRNA from 1 species